CAAGUUUGGAGCCCAGAAAGAAUGCACCUGAAACCAUCUACUAAAGGCAAUCUACCCAGAGCUUCAUGCAUCUGAUCUACCUUCUUCAAUAUCCUUGGCAGGACAUUUCUCCAGAAGCACUCUCUCAAAGAAACUUCAGUCACCACCACAAGGACCUCUCUUUACCGUUCUGGUUGCAUGGUCUGUGCUCUGCACAGUUUAACCACAGCAAAAAAGCCCAGGACCUGUGUUCUGCUGGAUCUGUCUGAUUCUCUUUCAACUGUCGAUGGGUUUGUGAACACUGGAAUUCUGUUGACAUGACUUGAGCAUAACUUCUGCUUUGGCUAAAGCUCAUCUUUCAGAAAAGCAUCCCAAUGAGAUGGAAAAUCCACCAAUUCCCUUUGUAGUUUGUUCCAGGAGUAAAAAAAUAAAAAAAUAAAUUGUGCCU